rnacentral:lncRNA from 1 species
GUCUGCUUUGGAGACAAGCAGAGCUGUCAGCAUCCCUCAUGGGCUGCCUCUGAGGUCACUCCUCUAUGGCGAGCAUUGCUUUCUAAAGACAGGAGCAGAGGUCAGAGGUCAGUUCUCUGGAAAGGUGAAGAAAUGUCAGAAGGUCAUCGGUCUCCUCACCACAGAGAUUCGUGGAUUACAUGCUCAGCACUGUGCAGAAGGUGACAGGUGGUCAGGUGUGACUUCUGUCACCGGGAGCCAGCCAUCCACAAAGGAAAUGGCCUAAUCAUAUGCGCUAUGAUGGAGGGAGGGCA